AGGACGAACGCUGGCGGCGUGCUUAACACAUGCAAGUCGAGCGGAAAGGCCCUUCGGGGUACUCGAGCGGCGAACGGGUGAGUAACACGUGAGCAACCUGCCCUUAGCUCUGGGAUAGCUCCGGGAAACCGGAAUUAAUACCGGAUAUGACCUAGGCCGACAUCGGCCGUGGUGGAAAGUUUUUCGGCUAGGGAUGGACUCGCGGCCUAUCAGCUAGUUGGUGGGGUAAUGGCCUACCAAGGCGACGACGGGUAGCCGGCCUGAGAGGGCGACCGGCCACACUGGGACUGAGACACGGCCCAGACUCCUACGGGAGGCAGCAGUGGGGAAUAUUGGACAAUGGGCGCAAGCCUGAUCCAGCAAUGCCGCGUGAGUGAUGAAGGCCUUAGGGUUGUAAACCGCUUUUGGUCGGGAAGAAAAGGUUUCUCCGUAACAGGGGGGACUAGUUGACGGUACCGGCAGAAUAAGCACCGGCUAACUACGUGCCAGCAGCCGCGGUAA
rnacentral:rRNA from 1 species